UACACAUUCCCAAAAGUUAUUCAAUUUUGAACAAGUCCAGAACGUAGGUAAUAAAGUAGCAGGCUCUUGCUUGCAUCGAUCACAUGUGGGAUCAAAACCAUCCUUAAUUUUACUGAGUUUAGGUUUUAACCAAUGGAGACGAUGUACCACCUUGAACUGGAUAACCACAUGCCUAAGACAAAUAGAUGAUGAGUAGAUUCCAUCAAUAAUCUUUUGCCAGGUGUCGUCUGAUAUCUCUUUACCAAGAUCUCCCUCCCAUUUACAUUUGAGCAAAUUCAAGGCAGUCAGCUUAUAAUUACUCAACAACUCGUAGAUCACACUUAUAACACGUUUGGCAUCUGGUUUAAGUUUAAAGAUGUCAUCUAAAAGAGACAUAGGUGGACAAGAGGGAAAAGCACUAAUAUUACUGGCAACAAAGUUUCGAAGCUGUAGGUAUCUGUAGAAAUGAGACCUAGGAAUGUUAAAUUUAGUCACCAGUUGUUCAAAUGAGCUGAAGACAUUGUCAGUGAAGAGCUCGUACACUGAGGUUAUUCCAAGGUUUGUCCAGAUGUUGAAUGCCUCAUCAGUCAUUGAUGGUGGGAACAUGCAGUGUCUCUGGGGUGGUGCGACAAGGGACAGUUCAGUCAGUUUAAAGUGUCUUCUGAGCUGGUACCACAGUUUAAGUGAAUGAAUGACAAGUGGGUUUGAGGUAAAACUGGAGAUGGGACCCGCUAGUGGUAACCUGGCACAUAGCAAGGACCACAGUGAAGAAUGUUGCAGCGAUAAUUUCUCUAGUGUUGCCCAUGCUGGUAAUUUGUCACGCUCCUUCGUCCAAUAUAGCAACACCCUCACAUUAGAUGCCCAAUAAUAAAAUAGAAAGUUUGGGAGUGCCAGACCUCCUGCGCUUCGGGGUCUUUGCAAUAUGUUCUGUUUUAAUCUAGGUGGUUUCUUAUUCCAAACAAAAGAAGAGAUUUGACUAUUCAGAUUUUUAAAAAAGGAUUUGGUUAAAAAUAACAGAAGACAUUGGAACAAAUAUAAAAAUUUGGGAAAGAUAUUCAUUUUAACUAUAUUUAUUCUACCACCGAGCGAGAGAGGCAACAGCUCCCAUUUUUCAAAAUCUUGCUUUAACUUAGACAAUAGGAGCUGGUAAUUUGCUUUGUAGAGAUCCUUGUGAUUACUUGUGACCCAUAUGCCCAAGUAUUUAAACAUAUUAUAACUAAUUUUGAAAGGAGCUAAUAUAGAAGAGAAAUCCCCUGCCGUUCUGCCAAUGGGCAUGGCCUCACUUUUUCCAAAAUUCACUUUAUAUCCAGAAAUGGAUCCAAACUCCUUGAGUAGUUCAAGGACUUUUGGGAAGCUGUGUGACGGCUUCGAGAUAAACAAAAGCAUGUCGUCGGCGUAGAGCGAGAUUUUAUGUUCUAUGCCCCCACGAUGAAUCCCUCUAAUGUCAACACACUGCCUCAAAGCAACAGCUAAAGGUUCAAUCGCCAAUGCAAAAAGAAGUGGUGACAAAGGGCACCCCUGCCUCGUACUACACUGAAGCUGGAAAUAGGGGGAUAAAUCAUUAUUAGUUCGGACAGCUGUGAGCGGGGAGGUGUACAGAACCUUAAUCCAAGUUAAAAAAUUGGCCCCAAACCCAAAUUUUUUAAGUGUAUAGAAAAGAAAGUCCCAUCUCACCCGAUCAAACGCCUUUUCGGCAUCCAGUGAAAUUAUGACUUCUAACGCAUCACUUUCAGGUUGAUUAUAGAUUAUGUUUAGUAACCGUCUAAUAUUGAAAAAGGAAUACCUAUUCUUUAUAAAUCCCGUUUGAUCGGGUGAGAUGAUAGACUGCAAAAUCUUCUCUAGUCGGCGGGCUAACACUUUUGCUAAAAUUUUUGUAUCUGCAUUUAACAGUGAUAUCGGACGAUAUGAACUGCAAUCAAGAUUAUCCAUAUCCUUUUUGAGGAUCAGAGAAAUUACUGCCUGACGCAUUGUUGGUGGAAGAGACUGUGAGAUAAAAGAUUCUUCAAAUGUUGAUUUUAAAAGUGGAUUAAGUUGGCUGAAAAUUUCUUAUAAAAUUCGGAUGGAUAUCCGUCGGGUCCAGGAGAUUUCCCAGACUGCAUACUCUGUGGGGCCAUUUCAAUCUCCACACUAGAAAUUGGUUCAUCUAAACUAGUGACAGCAUCUGCUCCCACCAGAGACAAGACAAGUCCAUCAAAGAAGUUUUCUAAGGCUGAGUUAUCACCAAUCGAGGAGGGACUAUACAGAGUUUGAUAAUAUUUUCAGAAACUGUUGUUCAUUUCCAGAUUGUCAUGCCUUGCAUUUUAAGCCCUGAUCAUUUUGAAUCUCUGGUAUAGCCUGAUUGGCUGUUCUUUGUCGCAGCUGGAGGGCUAAGAGCUUGCCUGUUUUCUCUCCGUGUUCAUAUGAACAGCUUCGUGAUUUUGAAAUUAAGUAUUCGGCAUGUUUUGUGCAUAUGAGAUUGUAUUCCGUUUGUAAUUGUAGUCGACGCUUAUAUAGCAAAGGGGUGGGAGAAUUACUGUAUGCUGCAUCGAGUUCAUUAAUCUGAUCUGCUAAAUAAGUGAGGCGCUCAGUUGCCGUUCUGAAUGAAAUUAUUUGGCCCCUCAGAUAAGCUUUGAGAGAUUCCCAAACAGUUGAUUGCGAUAUUCCUGGAGUUUGAUUUAUAUAAACAAAAAGUUUAAUUUGAGAUUUUAUAAAAUUAAUAAAUCCCUCGUCCGAGAGCAGUAGCGGAUUAAAUCUCCAUGGCCUAUAAUUAGAACAUACAUUAGGAAUCCGUAUUGAAAGAACAACAAAAAUAGUCUAUACGAGAAAAGGUCUUGUGAACACUAGAGAAAAAGGAAUAUUUGCAUGAAGUGGGAUUACGAAACCGCCAAACAUCAGCUUGCCCAUAGGUAUUAAGAAGAGACCGAAUCACACGUGUUGACCUAGAGACAGGGGUCACCUUCUGAGAGCUACGAUCAAGUGUAGAUAAGACACAAUUAAAAUCCCCCCCAAGAAUGAUAUUAUGUGACGCAUAUUUGGAAGCCGUGAAAAAAACCUUACUAAAGAAAUCAGGGUCAUCCCAAUUGGGGCAUAGAUAUUUGCCAAGAUCAAUGGAAAUCCAUAUAACUGCCCCACAACAAUAAUGAUUCGACAAGCCGGGUCUGCAUCUACUUUUGAGGCUACAAAAGUUAAAGUCCUAUUAAUUACGAUUGCUGCCCCCUUACCUUGGAGUAGAAUUCAGAGUGAAACACCUGACCUAUCCAUCUACUUUUAAUUCUAGAAUGAUCAGAGAUACGCAGAUGCGUUUCCUGAAGAAAUGCGAUGUCAGUCUUAAGUUGUUGUAAAUGAGUGAGAACUUUCUUACGCUUAACUGGAUGAUUAAGAGACUUUACAUUCCAGCUCACAAUAUUUACUAAGCAACCAUUAAGUGACUGGACCAUGUUUAACACAUGAGAUUAAAUGGGAUGACUGGAAGCAUAAAAGCA